UACAGAGGUCCCAAGCGUUGUUCGGAUUCACUGGGCGUAAAGGGUGCGUAGGUGGUGAGGUAAGUCGGAUGUGAAAGCUCAGGGCUCAACCCUGAAAUUGCAUCCGAUACUGCGGUGCUUGAGAAAUGAAGGGGAGUCUAGAAUUUUCGGUGUAGCAGUGAGAUGCGUAGAUAUCGAAAGGAAUACCAAAGGCGAAGGCAGGACUCUGGGCAUUUUCUGACGCUGAUGCGCGAAGGCCAGGGUAGCGAACGGG
rnacentral:rRNA from 1 species